GUGGGCCCUCGAAAUCCUGUGGCGGGGAGGAUUCAGUCUGGGUUCGGCGGACCCUGCCGCGGAACUCGGAAGAGCUUUCCCGUGACGGGUGCCGUCCGCGGCGGGGAGCCUCCGCCGUUCCAGACGCAUUUGACUCCCGCCCUGAGGACGCUGCAGCCGGUCCGGCAGCGCAAGCGUGACGGCCUGAAGGUYGGGAACCGGCAGGUGGCCGGUGGCCCUYCCCGUGGGGGUYGCCGGUUGUUAGCCGUCCCGUCGGUGGCCCGUYGCCGGACCGUGGUGUYGCUGGUCCCCCCCGGGGGACCCAAACGCUUCCUCCCCACSGGRAUCGCGGRACUGGGGGUGGCUAGGUCCGCCCGCGCUCGUCGUCGCACCCCCCCGGGGUGGGCGACCUCGCAGGGUGGUCCCGCAGGCCGCCCCGGACCCGUCGGGAGCUGGAGGCUGGCAGCGAGUAGGUCGGUCACCCACCCGGCCCGUCUUGAAACACGGACCAAGGAGUCUAACAUGUGCGCGAGUCAAUGGGUCUUGCACAGGCCCAGGGGCGCAAUGAGAGCGAAGGUCCUCCGAGCGUGGGCCGAGUCGGGAUCCCCCCGCCCCUCGCGGCGGGGGGCGCACCGACGACCCGUCCUAUCCGGUUCGCCGGUUGGGCGGAGUAUGAGCGUACACGUUGGGACCCGAAAGAUGGUGAACUAUGCCCGGACAGGACGAGGCCAGAGGAAACUCUGGUGGAGGUCCGCAGC
rnacentral:rRNA from 1 species